rnacentral:rRNA from 1 species
UACACUCCUGCGGGAGGCAGCAGUGGGGAAUAUUGCACAAUGGGCGCAAGCCUGAUGCAGCCAUGCCGCGUGUAUGAAGAAGGCCUUCGGGUUGUAAAGUACUUUCAGCGGGGAGGAAGGCGAUAAGGUUAAUAACCUUGUUGAUUGACGUUACCCGCAGAAGAAGCACCGGCUAACUCCGUGCCAGCAGCCGCGGUAAUACGGAGGGUGCAAGCGUUAAUCGGAAUUACUGGGCGUAAAGCGCACGCAGGCGGUCUGUCAAGUCGGAUGUGAAAUCCCCGGGCUCAACCUGGGAACUGCAUUCGAAACUGGCAGGCUAGAGUCUUGUAGAGGGGGGUAGAAUUCCAGGUGUAGCGGUGAAAUGCGUAGAGAUCUGGAGGAAUACCGGUGGCGAAGGCGGCCCCCUGGACAAAGACUGACGCUCAGGUGCGAAAGCGUGGGGAGCAAACAGGAUUAGAAACCCGUGUAGUCCC